GCGAAUGGGUUCUGGUUUAAGGGAUCUUGGGAGAAAGGUAACGGCACUUAUUCUUUCCUUGCUUUUCUCCAGAAAGGGAUUUCUAGACUUGGGCAUGGAGAGAAAAGGCAUGGGGCAGAGAAAGUCUCCUUCAGGCGGCUAAUUUUGGACCUGGCCUCUGGAACCUGGUCUUAGCCUGGACUAAGAGGCCUUCACCUUUUUUUCUGCUCCAUGUCAGCAGCCUCUAGCCCCCACCCAAAGGCUGUCAGCGCCUCUGAUCUCACUCUCAGCCCUGCCUUUGACCCUCACCCCGGUGGAAGCCCCAGGAGCCAAAGGGAGCCAAAAGACAGGGAUAAAGCCGAAGGGGAGAGAAAUAUAUAGUUUUUUUCUCCACUGUCUCCCCCAUAUACAAGAAAGAAAAUAAAAGUAAUUACUGUUGACAAUGGGGAGGAAGAACUGCCCAUAAAUGAAGAAGUUGGGAGGAUGGGAAGGGAGAGUAAGAAGAGAGUAUCCCUUUUGCUUGCCUCCCCCUGCCCCCAGCCUAGAGUGGAAACGGAGGCUUGAAGCCCCCAGGGUGGUUAGGUGUACCUCCUCGAUCAAAUGAUCAGACUUUGAGCUGUCUGAACUGAGAUGAUCAAGGUCUUCUGAUCCCUGCAAAGAUGGCUCCCGGAUUGGAGGGGGGCGGGGAUGGGGAAAUCUCUUCCAGGGAAAACUGGCCCGGCUCUAUGACCCUUCUAAUGUCUGCUCCUCAGAGAGCCUCUCAAUCCCAGCGAGCAACGAAAAUGGGUCCCAAUGCCCAGAAAUUCCAGGCCGUUGGUUCUUUUUGGUUUUAUUCUCGAAAGGGAAAGGCCCGAUGGGGGCAGGGGAACAGCAAGUGUCGAAGAGGCCGGAAUUUCGGACGAGCGGGGUGACAGAAGGGGAAAUUCCCGGAGCUUGGGCUCGGUCCUCUGGCUCCCCCUUGAAGAAGGUGACCCCGCAAAGCAGAAUUUCUUGUCUUCUCUGAGAUAGGAGGCCCCGAAGCUAACCCAAGAAAAGACAAGUUCCAUUUCUAACCAGCUUUUCUAUUGUUAAUAAGUUUAACCCCCCCAGUCCUCAGCGUAUUCAAAGUCCCCGUGUUCUGGGAAGCUUAGCCCAGACCCUUCACCGGAGGACAGAUUUGGAAUAGGCUAAUGGAGCAAGACAGGGAGAGGGCUAAGGGCUAAUCCAACUGGGGGCUCCCUGACCCCAACGGGGCCAGGCCAAGCAAGCCAGUAGAGGAGGAAGUAAGAGCGGCAAGUCAGAAUAGAGACCCAGGCCCCAGAUCUUCCGGGCCACUUGUCUGAUUUCUCUUUCGGGAGCAGGAAAAAAAAGAAGGGCAGUCAUAUAUCCAGGGAAGUGGGCAUCCUGCAGCUCUGGGGCUCUGUCCUUCAACUUUGUCUGUAAAGGUCAAGAUGGUUGAGAGAGCUAAGAUUCUUCCAUGGACGAUUAUCUGCAUAAGUGCAAAUGGGUGUGUGGCUAAUUUUUGGGGGACGGUAAGAAAUCUUGUGGGAUUGAUGAGCUUACACUCUUUAGAUUUGUGAUCUUCGACAGCAGUCUGGGGGCUUUCCAGGGAAGCAGUGCAAAGGAUCCCAGGUAUCCUGGAAUUUGGGGAAAAUUCUUACUAGAAUGGAUUUUGAGAUGCUAGUUGAGCACAGGCAAGACUGGAUUUUAGUUUAGUCUGGUUGGGGACAGCUUCUCUGCAUGCAGAAGGGAAAGAGUCUCCUCGGAGGUGUCCCCUGAGACCUGGGGGUAGUGGGGGGAGAGACCUCCAGUCUUGUUAUCAGCUCACUUUUAAGCAAAGAAGGAGACAGGUGACGGUAGCUGGUGAAAAGGAAGCUGGGGAGAAAAUUUUGGACGCAGGUGGGGCAAACACCCCACGUGUUUUCCAUCCUCCACAAUACCAAAAUUCAUUGUGGUGCCCCCUUCCCUUCCCCCCCCGUUCUGGGCGACUUGGGUGGGAGUGAGGAAGUAGAGUGAAAAACGGGUGAAGAGUUGUAGUUUUUCCGACACCAAAAAAGCUUAAUUGUGGUUUUCAAAGAGUCCUUGAGAUUCAGGAGCCCACCCGGCUGGCUGGAGACCACCGGUAUCCCCGCAGGAUUCCCCUAACUUUCCUGGUCUCUUUUCCCCUAUUUCUGCUCCCUCUCCUCCUUCUCUUGGAGAACAGCCCCCAACGAAUCUUUAUAUCUGUGGUGGCCGCAAAAACCUGCCGUAGGAAGAAAAAAACCCCCAAAAAACAACCCGGAUAGGUUUCGUUGACCUGCUUAAUGCAAACUAAAACCAGUUUUCGAUUGGCGAGUUCCAGAGGACGAGGGCUUCAGCCGGGCCCCAGCACCUUCCCGAAAGAUAAUUGGCCCACCUGCUAUGGGACCUGGAGACCUCCUGCUUACCGCGGUCUACAAGAGCUUUGUAACAGUAAUUUCUGCCCAAAGGAGACUUAAAACAAAAAACAAAAAACAAAAAUCCAAAACGAGUAAAAACUAAAAUGAGCAUUUCUGGCAGAACC
ensembl:lncRNA